CAGGGCUGCUCUCCCGCCUGCCUGUCGGCGGAGGCCGCGCCUUCCCCUUCCCCCUCAGGAGCCCGCUCGCUGCCGUUUCUCAGUCGGCUGUCAGUUCCUCCUUCACACCCCAAGACUGCUCCGAGCCCCACAAAAUAGCCCCCAGCCCCCGUCCCUCGGGCCGGGGCCGCCGCCUCCCCCGCCCCCUCGGGAGGCCGGUCGCUUCCGGUCGCGGGCUCGGAGCGCGUCGGCGUUGUGGUGGCGACGGCUGAGCGCGGCCGCCGCGGGGCAGAUCCUUCGGCUGAACCCUCUCGGAACAUUUGGUUCAAAAAAGAAGACACUGCUUUUCGUGAUAAAAUGGCUGUGGUGAAACCCUCCAGCAGAGAACCAAAGAAUGCCGAAGAAUCAUUUAACAAGGUAUCAUCCCUCCUUUUGAAGAACCUAGUGGAGGAGCCCAAGAAAAGAACAGAGGUACCUAAUCACCUCCUAGAAUCAAGUCUCUCGGGCGACAUUCUCCACCGUUUUCCGUACUCUUACAGUCAGCUUCGUUUUUCAAAUCCUGCGUGAAUCUUAGCCCUGUGUGCUCUAGUACUCUUCCUUCACCUGGCCUCUGGACCCCUUUGCUGUCUGAUCCUGCAGUGUCCCCUCACUGACUCUCCACUGGUCCCCAGCUCCAGCCACCUCAUAUUACUCCCUGCUCCUUCGAGUCCAUGUGGAUUUUAUACUUUCUUGUUUUUUUCAUGUGAUCCCUUAGCCUGGGAAACCUGGUAAAUCCUGUAGCUAUGACAUGAAAAGCUGAUCAGUUUGCCUAUGUUAUUAAAUCACACAGCAACCUCCUGAGGUUCUUUCUAUAUCCAUUCUACUGGUGGAGAAGCUGAAACCCAGAGAAAUCAACUGAAUUCCUUGACGGGAUGCAACCAGUCAGCCCCUGAACAGGAGAGCAGGCGUUUGAGCCUUUAGGCUCUUUCCCAUCAAGCUCAGUGGCCCUCACUCCUUCAGAGCCCAUCCUAGUUUUGGAAAAGUGAUGUGUUGGUGUGGCUCUUUUGCCACUUGUAGAACAAAUUAGUACAUAUUACAAUUUCUUGCCAUUAGCAGGAAAAGACCACAUUUACAUCUACUUUGUGGCCCUAAACAAACAAACAAAAGCAAAAAACAAGCAUUCAGCAUGAAACACUGGCAAUUUCAGUGCUUAGAAUUCACUGAAUAGUAACCUCAGAGUCUUUAUUUCACCUUACCUGCCAUCCUUGCCCCAUUCCAGCUCUUCAGUUGGGCCCAAGGCUGAUGACAAUGCUAUCUCACCUGGGGAGCAACAAAAGUACCCAGUUUCCCAUCCACCUCUGACUGAUACUAGAGUCAUGAUGGGGUAAAGAGCAGGUGAGGGUGUCUGUGACUCACAUGAUUUGGAUGUAUUCAGAGCUUGAAGGCUAGUAUUUGUGAGAAAGCAGACCCCACAAUCUUAUUGCGGGAGGCAGUUUAGAAUAGUGGUGGGAAAUCAGAUGGACCUGGGCUUGAUUUUAACUACCAAUCCUGGACAACUUAGUAAGGUCUCAGCUUCCUCCUCUGUAAGCAGAAAUAACACCUACCUCAUGGGGUAGGAAUGAGGGCUCUAUGUAAAUGGGGACACAGUACUGCCUGGCACAAAGCUCUUAAGAAAAGGAAACAAUUCAUUGUGUAAUGGGCUUGGCUCAGUUCCUGCCUAAAUAAAGAGCUGGGAAAGUUAUGUACCCGGCACAGCUUUUGUGAGCUCAGUUGUCACUGUGCUCUCAAAACUGGGGGAAAAAAAGUUGACAUUACAACUAAAACUGAGACUUUCCUGAUCAGCAUGAUAAUUAUUCAAAGCUUUAAGAUGAUUGUAUAUCACAUUGUAAUUCUAUUCAGAGGAAGUCAAAUAAUAAAAAUUUCAAAUACAAGGUAAUAUAAUGACACACUUGGUAUUUGGGUACUUUGAACUGGGUAGUCAUUCCUUAAUCACUCAGUGAGAAGGGUUCUGUUCUUUAAGAGCUGGUGUUUUAUUACACAGAUUUGUAGAAGAUGUAUGAAGAGAAAAUUGUUAUCUGUUUUUUGAAAAUUAUUUUGACAGAUAAUAACAUAUGAAUUUGUAUUGUGAUGCUAAACUCUUGUGAGUGAUGUUUAAAAAUUGGAAAAGGCAGUGGGUUAACUUGGAACAGAUUAUUCAUCUUGUUGACAGCUGUAUCCUCUGCCUGCAACUUUCAUAUGCUUAAAAUGUCCCAAAUUAGAAAGAGCCCAUGUUCAUAGGGUCUUCUUUAAUAUUUUCUCAUGUCUUAUCAUUUACUUAUUGCAUCGUUUUUUAUAGAGGUUAUGCAAUGCUUCUGACUAAUAAGGUUGUAUAGUCAAAACCUUUCAUAUUCCAUUUUGGAGGCUAUCAAAUAGAAAACCAUCACUAAUAGAUUCUGGUAGGUACUUUUUAAUUGGGAGAAUUAAUCAUAAUGAAACAAUGCGAAUGUUCGCAUUUAUAUGACUGGUUGAUCUAAGAGAAGUAUAAUCAUCACAAGUGUGGGUAUAAGGUUUUUCUGUGAUGAGAAAUUUUAAAAUGUUAUCGGUAUCAUUGGGCAAGUACUUUCCCUUGCCUCCCCUUCCACAAGGCUCCUCCCAU
ensembl:lincRNA